GGGGAAUUUUCCGCAAUGGGCGAAAGCCUGACGGAGCAAGUNCCGCGUGGGGGAUGAAGGUUUGUGGAUUGUAAACCCCUUUUGAUUGGGAAGAAUACUGACGGUACCAAUCGAAUAAGCCUCGGCUAACUCCGUGCCAGCAGCCGCGGUAAUACGGAGGAGGCAAGCGUUAUCCGGAAUUAUUGGGCGUAAAGCGUCCGUAGGUGGUUUAGUAAGUCUGCUGUUAAAGCGCGGGGCUUAACUCCGUAUCGGCAGUGGAAACUACUAGACUAGAGUGUGGUAGGGGUAGAGGGAAUUCCCAGUGUAGCGGUGAAAUGCGUAGAUAUUGGGAAGAACACCGGUGGCGAAAGCGCUCUACUGGGCCAUAACUGACACUGAUGGACGAAAGCUAGGGGAGCGAAAGGGAUUAGAUACCCCUGUAGUC
rnacentral:rRNA from 1 species